GGCGGGGCGGCGGCGGCGGGGCCGGAGGGGAAGCGGAACCGCCGCGCGUGGCCACAGCCCGCGGGGGCGGGGCGGAGCAUUGCCGCGGGGGCACCGCCCGCCGUGCGCCGGAAGCUGUUUGGAUCUCUUCUUUUUCUCUGGCUGUGAACAACAACCACCUGCAGGGGGAAAAGUUCACCACCCUAAAAAAUCCAGCAUCCAUCUAAACUGCACCCAGCAGGAGCCAGCUGGGAAAGCAAUGUAUGUGUCCUCAAGGCUUCUCCCCCAAAAUUCCCAUGGUCCAUUGAAUCUUCCAUGAUUUCUCCACGCUUCCUGCUGCCCUGGAGGCACAGCCGUCCUUUCACUUCUCUUCCUGUGUUUGCUUUUCCCUCUCUGCCUCAGCCCAGUCGCUGCUAACUCACCUCUGCAGCCCCCUGGAGAACCACAGUGGGUUUGUGGCUUCACCUUCCCUUGGCCUUCCUCCCCAUCCCUCCUCACCUCUCCGUGCUGCCUCAGCCUCCUACCCCCAACCCCUCUCAGCUCCAGCUCCAUUUGCAGAAUCCUGACUCCCCUCACACCCUUGUCUCCUUCCCCAGGCACAGCUUUUUAGGAGGGUGGGUUUUUUUGUUUAUUUUUUUUUUAAUUAAUUUUUGUUAUACCCAUUUCUUUGUGAUUCAGAAAGCUUUAAUUCCCAACACGGCCUUUGAUGCCCCAUCCCCUUUUCUUUCUUGUCAAGAACUCCUCAACACCUCAUUCCUGUCUCCAAAACUGUCAGAAUUCUUGCACAGGAUUUACAGCUCCUCCUCUGAUUUCUGAGAUCCCCCUGGGGCUGGCAUUUGAAUCCUCCUGCAUGGCACACCUGCUAAAUUCUGUGCUGCCUUAGUGACAGCAGCUUCUGCUCUGAGAGAGAGAUUCACUGGCAAAUUCCUUUGUAAUUAACACUGCUAUGGUUAUCAGACUUAUUUACAGUUUGUAAGGAAAAAUGUGUCUGCUGUAUUUACAAUACAGGUGCUGUGGAUUUAAAAACAAAUAUUUGCCACAACAAAAACCACCCCUUGUGAAGCUCUGCCAUUCCUCUCAUAUUUUACAUUAAUCAGAAUCAGUUAC